GAAAGUCAUUAUAAAGUCAACCUGUG
rnacentral:piRNA from 1 species